rnacentral:rRNA from 1 species
CCUACGGGAGGCAGCAGUAGGGAAUCUUCGGCAAUGGACGAAAGUCUGACCGAGCAACGCCGCGUGAGUGAAGAAGGUUUUCGGAUCGUAAGACUCUGUUGGUAGAGAAGAACGUUGGUGAGAGUGGAAAGCUCAUCAAGUGACGGUAACUACCCAGAAAGGGACGACUAACUACGUGCCAGCAGCCGCGGUAAU